rnacentral:rRNA from 1 species
UACGUAGGGUGCGAGCGUUAAUCGGAAUUACUGGGCGUAAAGCGUGCGUAGGUGGUUCGUUGUGUCUGUGGUGAAAGCCCCGGGCUUAACCUGGGAACGGCCAUGGAAACUGGCGAGCUGGAGUGUGGCAGAGGGGGGUGGAAUUCCGCGUGUAGCAGUGAAAUGCGUAGAGAUGCGGAGGAACACCGAUGGCGAAGGCAGCCCCCCUGGGCUAACACUGACGCUGAGGCACGAAAGCGUGGGGAGCAAACAGG